UAUCCAAUAGCGGAGGAAAAGAAACCAACAGGGAUUGCCUUAGUAGCGGCGAGUGAAGCGGCAAAAGCUCAAAUUUGAAAUCUGGCUCUUUCAGAGUCCGAGUUGUAAUUUGAAGAAGGUAUCUUUGGGCCUGGCUCUUGUCUAUGUUUCUUGGAACAGAACGUCACAGAGGGUGAGAAUCCCGUGCGAUGAGAUGACCCAGGUCCGUGUAAAGUUCCUUCGACGAGUCGAGUUGUUUGGGAAUGCAGCUCUAAGUGGGUGGUAAAUUCCAUCUAAAGCUAAAUAUUGGCGAGAGACCGAUAGCGAACAAGUACAGUGAUGGAAAGAUGAAAAGAACUUUGAAAAGAGAGUGAAAAAGUACGUGAAAUUGUUGAAAGGGAAGGGCUUGAGAUCAGACUUGGCAUUUUGCAUGUUGCUUCUUCGGGGGCGGCCUCUGCGGUUUGUCGGGCCAGCAUCAGUUUGGGCGGCAGGACAAUCGCGUGGGAAUGUGGCACGGCCUCGGCUGUGUGUUAUAGCCCGCGUGGAUACUGCCAGCCUAGACUGAGGACUGCGGUUUAUACCUAGGAUGUGCA
rnacentral:rRNA from 1 species